rnacentral:rRNA from 1 species
UACGUGAGGGGCGAACGUUGUUCGGUGUCACUGGGCUUAAAGGGCGCGUUGGUGGUUGUGUAAGUAACGUGUGAAAUCCCUCGGCUUACCCGGGGAAUUGCAUGUUAUACUGCAUGACUUGAGGAUCAGAGGGGAAUGGGGAACUCCAGGUGUAGCGGUGAAAUGCGCAGAUAUCUGGGGGAAGGCCGGCGGCGAAGGCGCCAUUCUGGCUGAUUCCUGACACUGAGGCGCGAAAGCGUGGGGAGCAAACAGG